UGGUAGUGGGGAAAGCUGUGCAUGUUUGGGAGCAGGUGGAUUAGGAGAACUCUCUGUGCUUUCCACUUAAUUAUGCUGGGAUCCUAAACAUGCUGUCAAAAUAAAGCCUAUUUUAAAAAUGCAAGCUUUAUGGUUUUCAGAGGUGCCUGCAUGUGGAAGUUUUUUGAUAUUAUAAAAGGCUUCAUUGCCAGAGCCUUGAAAAGACUAACAUUCAGCUCCACAGAAGGGAGAGGAAAGGAACCACACUGGCAAGGCUUCCGGGGACCAUAAGGAGCCCUUGCUAAUGGCUCUCUGCAAGGGCUGUGCUGUGUGGUACCAGCCUGCACAGAGCUUUUCAGUUAGCAAGCAAGUUUUCCUGCCUGUUCCCUGCGUCUGCUUCUCGAAGACUAGAGAAGGAAAGUGGAGAGGGAUGCUUCUCACCUGAGUCUCUAAAAGGCUUUCAUUGAAGAUAAUCCCCUUCCCUUAGCAGAGAGGGGCCAGCUCUGAGGGAGGACGCUCAGGAGCAGCUGAAGCCGUGUUUACCAGCACAGCUGCCGCAGCCGCAAGAAUCUACUCCCUGCUGCCGCCGGCCCUGCCCCUUGCUGGCUGAACAAGGAGAAGGGUGUACUGAGUGACUUUGGCUCAUAAUUAUGGUAAUGGCUAACAUCUAAUGAUUUGUGCGAGGCAGAACACUAAGUGUUUUACAUGGAUCAUCUCAAUCCUCAAAAGAAUAGCAGCUACUAGUGCUUACUAUAUGUCGGGCACUGGUCUCAGAGCUUUAGAUAUGUCAUACUAAUUUAAUCAUGAAGAGAAGCUAAGGAGAGCCUCCCACUAUUUUUCCUGUUUUACAGAUGAAGAAACUGAGGCUUAGACAAACUGAAGAACUUGCCCGAUGUCACAUAGCUGCUAAGAGCCCCUCUCUAUGGAAGGAUAAUAUACUCCCGCCAUAUUGCAUGUGGACAAAGCCAUUGGAAACUACCAAUGAUCUUUACAACUUGAACCUCAAUUUCCUUUUGUGAAACGUUGUUGUAAUAACCAUCACCUUCCUGAUCUCACGGGAUGGUAUGAGGCUAAAAUGGCAUCAUUUAUAUGUCACAGUACACUGAAAAGGACCAUGCCCUAUAAAGGUAAGGCACUAUAAUUACAAUUGGAGUUUUCCUCUUUUAGUGAGUUGCAUGCACUGAUCUUUGCCUCUUUUCCACUUAAAUGUUCUGGGAGGAGGGGAUGGGUAUGCUCACACCCAAUGGGUGUGGUACACACUGUCUGGGGGAUGGACACGCUUGUAGCUUUCACUUGGGUGGGGCAAAGGCAAUAUAUAUAACUUAAACAUUUGUACCUCAUAAUAUUCUGAAAUAAAAAAAUGUUCUGAAGUGUAUCCUCAUUACAAAGUUUUAUAAGCAGUCAAGCACAUUACUCAUACUUGCCUGAGGAUGUCACUUCUGACUUGGGAGGACCAUUCUUUUUAAGCAUCCGGCUUUGAGAUGGACCCACAUGGAGUGGUGCUGAGACAUGUGGACACUCCCCUGGCCAGGCCAAUCAGCCCAGUUAUCUUUUAUUUCUUUCUUUUUCUUAUUUAAUAUAAUUUUCUUUCUUUUUUUUUUCUUUUUUACAGCGCUUUCCAGUUGGAAGCAGUUAUCUUUUCUGAACCAUAAGCAUAUCAUGUUCUGGCCAAACUGCUUUCACAUUCUGAAGAACAUUAUACAUGACAGGGAAUGCUGUUAUUUAUUUUACUAGGAAGAAUAAUACCAUGGAAAGGGCAUUAGAUUUAGAAUCAGACAGACCUGGCACAUAGUAGUCGCUCAAUAAAUAUUUGUUGAAUAGCUGAAUGAAUCAGCUCAAAUCUCACCAACAAUUUCUAGCUGUGUGAUCGUAUGCAAGAUAUUUUACCUCUCUGAGCUUCAGAUACCUCAGUUGUAAUUUACCAAAUCUUAACAUAAUAAUCUCUACUUCAAAGAGCUUUUUUUAAAGGAUUAAUGAAGUGGUAGACGUAUAAGGUUGAUCAAAAUGCUUAGCAAAGAUUGAAUAAACGUGAACCUUUAGUUUAUUAGCCAUGUUUUGUCCUGGAGUGGGUGACCAGCUUAUAGGGAAAAAAAAGGUGGGCUUUUGGGCUUGUUUGCAGGGCUUUGUCAAUGAAUGAGGUCUCUAGAUUCCUUCUGAAAAAAAUCAAUAGCAUUUUGACAAGAUUAUACUUUCUUUACCACUGAAGCAAUACUAUGUGAGUACACCAGAGGAAAGCAUUUCAAAUGCUUUUGUUACACAAAAGCUUCAAGGACUCUGCCCUGGAAAAAGCUUCCUUAACAAAAGGAACCACAUGGCCUCCCAUUUCCUGGCUUCUAGAUUGGUUUUCCAUCUCCUCUUAACCACACUGCCUUUAUCUCUCUGUGCCUGUGCCUGUAUCUGCCUCUUUAAUAUACUUGCAGGUGCUUGAAAGACCUUUCUGCAGGUGUUUCUUAGAAUCAAACUUAGGAAUUUAUAUGAGCAACAGAAAGGUAGAUGACACAUUUUUAAAUGAUCUGCAUCAACAAAGGGAGGAGAGAAGGAGCACUGGCCGGAUGAUGCCUGUGAUAUACCUGGUGCUUUUCCGGAUGUUUACCAUUUCAUUUAAUCUUCACAGCAACCGUGUGAGAUAAAUGACUCUAUUUAUUUAUUUUUCCAGUGGUGAUUUUAAAAUGAGGAUAAUAAGGUACAAAUAAGUGUUAGGGAUUUGCCCAAGGUCACAUACCCAAAAAGUGGCACAGCUGACAAUUGAAUGCAGGUCUGUUUAAUUCCCAAACCAUGUUCUUUGCCUGAUGUUUUCCCGGCCUCACUGUUUACUGACUAUUCACUACCUCACUGCAUGAUGCAACAAAGGAGUCUGGCAGCUUGCUGUGUUGUGGGGAGAGCCUCUGGAGCCAGGGGACUUGGGUUCUCGCUCUGAUAAUGUCAUUUGCUAAUUAUGUGGCCUUGGGCAGGUUACUUAUCAUCUCUGAGCCUCAAGUACUUCAUUAGUAAAAAGAGAAAAAUCACCUCUUUCAGGCAACGUCAUUGUGAGAACUAAAGACGAUGUAUGUAGAGUGCCUGGCAUAGGAGAGACAUUCAAUUAAUGGAAGUUACUGAUAUUAUUAUCAUUGUCAUCCACAAUAAAUUAAUCCAUGGAUAGGAUGAUGAACUCUACAGAGCUGUACUUGUUAAGUGUUCAAUGGGUGAAACAAAUAUCAUGCAUAUUUCAAAGGAGGUACAACGGGGAGAUUAUUUCUUGCUAGAGCAGCUGGGACAAGACUGAAGCCUAGUCGCUAGACUGUCCACUGGGGUAGGGACUGGACCUGUGUUUCUUUUUCUUAGCAUCGUCUUUCUAGGACCUAGGACAAUGGGUAGCAAGCACAGAGUUGGUGUUUAGUGAAAGUGUGAUGAUUGAAUGAAUGAAAGUUUGUCCUUAAAGGAUGGAUUUUGAAGGGGCAUAAAGAAGACCAGAGGGAAUACAAAAUGUGACUUAAAAAGGUAGAGUGGUCACAACACAUAGCAUUUAUAGGAGACAGAAAGCCAAAUAAUAUGGAUGGAGGAAAGAUGUGGUUAGAUAAGUAAACUGGGAGAUCACAGAAAUAGAGAGUUUCAAACACAGCACAGCUGUCAGCAGUAACUACUGAGAGUGCAAAGAAAGGCUAAUUUAGUGAUCAGGUGACGAAAAGGCCAGUGGCUGUCCUUCUUAUGAGAUAAUUACAGUACUAACUCCUCUGGUUGCUUUGGGGAUUAAAUGAAAUAUUACAUGUAAAGAGCUUGGCACAGUGCCUGACACGUAGUAGGCACUUAGCAAAUUAAUUAUUACUAAUAUCAAAUUAUUAUUCACACUUUGGGACAUUUCAGUGCGUAAGGAUAGCAGAAGCCACAUAGUGGAUGUAGGAGCAACAAACUAGAGAGACAGUGGAUGUCAAUAACCAUGGAGAACGUGCAGGUAUUUAGCACUGUUCAGGCCCCCUGGGGAGACAGAAAUGUAACUUCCUCCAGCUGCUUCUCAUAAUCCUGAGAUGUCCCUCAAGGACCUUAUUGCCAGAUACAGACUUAAGAUCUGUAUAAUGGCCAUAAUAUUAAGAGCCAGUUCUGCAAAUUGAUCUUAGGGACUCUUUCCUAUGACACCCCCUGCCCAGUCAGUUUCUCUCCUGCACCCAGAUGCCAUUCUCAGGAUAAACACAGGCAUAGAAGUAUCUAGGGCCUAGCCUUCAUCCAAAUAUGACUGAGUUACCUAAAGUGACUGUUUAAAUUACAUGAUCAACCUGCGAUUACGAGAUCAGACUAAAAUUUAUUUCAAAUUUUUUUCCUGCUUCCGGCAGGUUUUGUGAGGAGGAACGGAGAAGUUAUAGACUAAAUAAAGAGCAGUUUUAGAACAAAUGUUCUCUGCAUAGCUGAGUAGUGCCUUAGCAAUUUUAUGACCUCACUAUGCGAGUACUUAAAUAACUAUAAUACAAAGUAGAAAGUGAUAAACACAGAGUACAUAAGUGCUGUGGGAAUUUGGAGGAAUUGUUUCAGCUAAUUCAGGAAAGGUUUUUGUGAAGGAGACAGAACUGGAGCUGUUUUCGUCUCCAACAUUUGACUUUAAAAAAUUUAAAACAUAUAAAAAAAAGAAAGGAAUCAUAAAAUGAACACCUAUAUACCCGUCAAUGAGAUUUAAUGUUUAGUCAUCUCUUGGCAUAUUUUCUCACAUUUCCUCUAUAAAAAUACAUGCAUACAUAUAUAUUUGUAUGUACAUAUAAUAUACACAUUUUCUAAUCUUCAGGAUCAUUUGAGAGUAAGUUGCAGAUGUUAUGACAUCCCAUUUCUAAAUACUUCAGAGUGUAUCUCUUAUGAACAAAGAUUUUCUCCUACAAAACCAUAACAUUGCUGUCAUUAUCACCAAAGAAAAUUGAAGCAUCAUGACUGGCAUUGGAUUUUGGAAGAAUGGUAAGGUUUGGAUUUUUGAUAACAGCUUAAGUGCCCCUUGGGUGGGGGACACAGCGUGAGCACAGAUGUAGUGGCCUAUUGUAAUCCCUCCAUUUCAUGGGAAACCUCUCCCAGACCAGAAAGCUGAAGUGAUUUGCUAAAGGCCACAAAGGUAGUUUGGAAAGAGCUGGGACCAGGAACCACAUUUCCUGAGUCCCUUUGCAUUUCUCCCCACCACCCUUCUCUUCCUGGCAAGGGACUGCAUUUAGACUAUGACACACAUGGGCGCCCUUAAAUCAAUCUCAAUUUAAAAAGCUUUUUGUAUGGCUCCUCUCUAUGUGGGUUUCCAGGAUGUUGCAAUCCAAAUCCUGCCAGUUCUCCUGGAAGAGCAAGAUUUAAACAGGAGAAAUGGAAGUAGGAAUGGCUCAAUGCACAGUAGGUCGUGGAAAAAGCCAGGAAGAAUGUUCCAGGUCCCUGGGAAAUAGCAGCACUGUCACCUGCUCUGGCCUCUGCUCUCUGACUCCAUGGCCUUUAUGGACUGUGUGCUCCCCACUCUUGUUUUACUUUCCAUAGCAAGAGAAGAGGAGCAGAUGCAGCGAGAUAGCUGGGCUGGACAUCACUACCCUUGCAUGCUGGCCAGUCUCCACUUCUGACAGUCUCCGUGAUUUCAGACAGUGAUUCUCAACCAGGUGCAACUUCACUUUCCUGCAGCUAUUUGGCCAUGCCUGGAGGCAUUUUUGAUUGUCACUCUUGGAGGACUGCUAGUGGCAUCUACUUAGUAGAGGCCAGGGAUGCUGCUAAACAUUUUAACAGUACACAGGACGGCCCCUACCACAAAGGAUUGCUCAGUCCAAACUCUCAAUAGCACUGAGGUUGAAUACUUUGCUUUAGGCGAAUCACUCAUUUUCCUCAGACUUUAGUAUCAUCACUUUAAAAUGGGGACAUUUGGGCCAGCUCAGUGGCUUUCAGUUUUGAGAGUGCUUAAAAAUGCCCUGGGAUGCUCACUAAAAAUUGCAGGUUAUGGGCCCUAUCUUUAAGGAUUCAAUAGAUGGUACAGAGUCCACAUCUUGAGAAAUGCUACCCUUCUCGGCCGUUCCAUAUUCCAAUUCUGAAAAUGUGGAGUUCCCACCUGAACACAAGAUGAAUAUGGAAACAAGAAAUGAUAAUCUUAGACUCUCACACACACAUAUACCUCUACUCCCCCCGAUCCACAGAGAGUGGCCAGUGUGCAUGUUCUAAGACCUGAGGCCAGUUCCUUUUGCCCUUCCUUUGAAGCCUGUGGGUCCACUGACACCUGGUGUGAGUAAUUCUGUAGACAUGUCGCAGCGCCAGUUAUUCUGGAACACUUGGUGUGAAAAAACACCAGGAUACAACCAAUACUCCUUUCCAUUCAAGUGUCAACUCUUCCAAGCAUCUUCAUUUAAGCAGAGGCACUUUGUAACACAAAGCCAUCAUCUGGCAUUUUCCGGUUUGUAUGGAUUGGUGUACAGGGCACUAUCAAAGAGGGUGUAGACAUGUUUUAUUGUUUGCUUGUUGUGGGGUUUGGAUAGGACAAAAAAGAAAUCUUUUUAAACCAUAUGUUAUUUUGGGGGUAGGAGGAGGCUGGGUGUGUUACCACUGUUGGCAAAGGCAUGGCUCCAAGUGUACUCACAGCUACUGAGCAUUGGACAUCUUCUCUGUGUCAGACGAGAUGGUUGUGUGACAUCACUUAAAUCUCAUGGAGCCCUGCAAGGAAGAAAUUAUUUUUCCCUUUUUCAGAAGGAAGGACUGAUACUCAGAGAUAUUUGGUAAUUUGCCCAAGAUCACACUGUUAAUGAGUGGCAAAGUCCACUUAUCAACUCAGGAUUGUUUAAUUCCAAAGUUCAUGUGUUAUUACUUUUAAUUGCUCCUGUAGGGAUUGGAGGUGACCCUGGAACGGCAGAGACAGAGAAGAUAGAGGUUGCCAGACAAAACAACUGCUCACAUGGCCUCUCCCCAAACACCUAGGAUGAGAAAGUGGCAUUAUUGAAUUUGAUAUAUGUACACAUUGAUUUCUGGUGGAAGAGAAGCAAAGCAAAACAACUAAUAAACAUCAACCUUAAUUGGCCAGCAAAAGAAGAGAAUGGAAGCUCGGAUAGUUCAGGGGCAAAUAGUGCUUGCAUCUCCAGCAGAGUGGCACUUGAUCCCCUCCCUGAGGUUGUUUGACUCAGGUAAUGUCUAACAUGGUAUCUCUGUCAGGUGAUGUCUUAAAGCUUAAAUGAAAUAUCGGUACAAGGCACUAAGGAGUUAGACAAAAUAAAGUCAUGAAAAUCUAUGUUAGUAAUAGAGGAACUUCAGGGAUUAUAAUUUGUCUUCAUUUAGAGAAUUUUCUAAUAUGAAUGGCUUAAUGUAAUAAAACCACAAGCAUCUAAAAAGAAUACAGGUACCAUUGGUUCAGUUAGUCCUUCUUUUUAGUUUAAUGAAUAGGAAUAGAAGUGAGGGGACUGGUUGCAUGGCACAAUGUGGCAGAGAACACCCACAUUUCCACCAGAGGACGAGAGAACCCCAACUCAGGAGAUACGAGUCCUGGUACCAGGACUACUGCACUACUGUGUGACUUGGGACAACUUUGUCUGCUCCGAGACUCAAUUUACUUAUUUGUUACAUGAAACCAUUGGGCCAGAUCCUAUCCAGCUCUAAAAUUCAUUUUUUUUAAGUUCAUUUUAAAAUAUCUUAGAAUCCUUAAAUUUCCACACAGUGUUUGGCAUAAAACUGGGGAAUAGCCAAUGUUUAUUAAAUGAAUAAACAAACAAGUGUCUGCACAGGUCCCAAGUUCAGUCUGUUAGACUGAUGGUCUUUCAGAAUUACAAGGAUUACCCAGUAAGGAUAACACAUUUAGUAAAUACCUGUUCACUGAUUUCUUACUGUGUAUGGAAGACAGCCUUUAAGAUGGGCCCCAAUGACCACCACCUCCUGGUGUUCGUGCUCUUGUGUAAUCCCUUCCUCUUGAAGGUAGGCUGGAUAUACUGACUUACUUCUAACAGAGUACAACAGAAGUGAUGGGUUGUCAUUUCUGAGAUUACGUUACAAAAAGACUGUGACUUCUGGUUUGUUCUCUCUUUCUCUCUCUCUCUCUCUCUCUCUCUCAACCUUUGCCCUGAGGAAAGCCAGCUGCCAUGUGGCAGCUGUCCUAUGGAGAGACGCUUGCAACAGAGAACUGAUGUCCCCAGACAACAUCCAGGAAGGACCUGAGGACAGCCAAGAGUCACAUGAGGGAGCUUGGAAGUGAGACCUUCCUCAGUUGAUCCUUGAGAUGACCGCAGCCUUGCUGGACACCUCAACUGUAGCCUCGCCAGAGACUCUAAGCCAUGCCCAGGUUUCUGACCCACAGAAACUGAGCUAAUAAAUGUUUGUCAUUUUAAACUGAUAAAUUUUGGGGUAAUUUGCUACACAGAAAUAAAUGAUGAAUUAUGCUAUGUACAAAAAGAAACUGAAUUAGAAAAUUCAAAAUUCUCUAACUGAAUUAGAGAUUCAUAUAAUCUAAAUAAGAGAUACAACAAAUAUACCAAUUACUAUUAUGUAGAGUUGUAAUAGUAAUAAUAACUAAUUCCUAUAGAGAGUUGACAACAUGCUCCAAACUAACACACACAAACACACACACAUAUCAACCCACUUAUUCUUUACAACAAUAUUGAGGUGCAUAAUAUGACCAUUCCAUUUUACAGAUGAAGAAACAGAGUCAUAGAAAGGGUAAGUCAGUUGCUCAAGGCCACACAGCCAGUAAAGGCAGUAAUAAAUGGUUGAUUAAAAGUUUAAACCCAAUUUCCAGAUGGCUUGUUUGUUACCACCAAGCUGCACUGUACCUAUAAAUGAGACAAGGGAAGUAUCAUGAAAUGACAAGAGGUUCAAGAGGAGUGAUUUCAUCCAGUCUGAGGGAUAAGAAUAAGGUUUUAUGGAGGAGGUGACUUGUAGAUGGACAGCAUUACCUUAGUGAGAUGGAAACAGGGCAUCCCAAAUAAAGUUCCCUGUUGAAGGAAUCACAGAGAGAACCCAAAGGAAGGAAAGACAAGCAUGUGAUUGAAACUGAAACAGUUCUGUAAUGCAGUCUGUUUCUCAUGAGGCCAUUAGUAGCCAGGCCCAGGAAGAAUGGGUUACAGAAUGGUUUAAUUUUUCUGGGGCACAGUUAGUCAGGAAAGUCUUACCAGUGGUAGAGCAGCAUUUAGGUGGAGUUAUUAUCUGACUUGUCUUCACCUAUUCCUCACUUAUUCUCCUAAAUCUUGAUUUCAUACCUUCUGUUCUCUGCCUUUGAAUUCUACCUGAUAGUCAUUCUAUUCUUUCUUUGAGGUGAGACCCACCUCCUCAUCUAAUGUUUCUAUUCUUACAGCCCUUGGAUGGCACCAAAUAAAAUAGAAAAAUACCCAGGAUUUCAAAUAUAGUAUAAAAUGUGAGAUCUGGAUAUAUUAGUACUCUUCUGAUGCCCCAUCAAAGUAGUCAUUUCUCAUAUUUUAAACAGUUGGGAACUUCCUAAAUGGUCACUCAAUGAUUCUACAAAGGUAUACUUCACUUGAUGGAGCUAUACUAGCUAUACUCAUGUAAUGACCAACUAAUAUAAUUACUAGAAUUUUCCAGAACCUUCCAUCUUAUAUUUUGCUAAUUGUAUAUGGUUAUUACUAAAAUUGCCACUGGCAAUCCUUCAUUCCUUUGGCAAUCCUUUCUUUAUUUAUUAUACUAGUGCCAGCGAUGUGGACACAUUGCAUACUAUUCAGUUCACCUUUGCCUCGCACAGAUGGAGCAAAGCUCAUGAAGUCAGCCUGCAGGAUGAAAGGAGGCUGCAACUUCCCAUUUUCUGCUAGAGGGAUUUCAACGCUCCCAUUCCAGUCGACCAUGUUGGAUCUCAAGAGUUCAACUCAGAUGCAAAGUCUCAUUUUCAGAGGUGUUACAUUUGCAUAAUUUGACAGCUGGGGAUAUCAGUAGCUCAGGUAAAUCAAAUGCAUUUGCACCUCUGCACAAAUGAAAAUUUGCUCCUUUUCCCCAGGCCCCCAUCAUCCUGUUAUAACCAUUCCUUAGCCCUGGCUCCUUUUUAGACUUCCUCGCCACAUUGCGUCUCAUGCUCAGAAAUAACUUUGGCUCUGUAGUCAUUUCCCAUGCCACCUCUGUGUACCUUCCAGAAGAGUACAAGGCUUAUUAGUUAUUGUGGUGGUGAAGGAAGGGAGCUUCAGCCUCAGGUGACCCAGGCUCAAUCCUGUUUUGUACCAACCAAAGCCAAGCCACCACCAUCUCCUGCCUGGCCCUCUGAAGUAGCCUCCUAAUUGGUCUUUCUGCACUUGUUCCAGGCUCUAAUUCUUCUCUCCAUAUAGUGGACAGAAUAAUCACCUAAAACAAUUAUUUUACUAUGUUUUAAAUUUAAGAACAAUGUAUGAAUAUAGUUUUCCUUUUUAAAAAAGAAAAGUUCAAAAGUGAAUGCAAUGAAAAAUCAGUCUCUCUACUAAGUCAACUCUGUAUUCCCCGAGGAUCUCUUCCUAUAAGCAACCACAUUUACCAGUUGAUUGUAUAUUUUUCAGAAAUAGUUUAUGUAUACACAUAUUUAUCAGAUAUAUACAUAGAUACUUUUCAUUUUUUUCUAUACAUGAAUGAUUUUAAUAUAUAAAUUUGAUCAUGACAUAUAACAACAGCAGCUCCCCACUAACCUGAAGUUAAUGUCCAGAAUUUUUAACACGAUCUUCAACAUCUUGCAUGAUCCGGCUCCUGUCCAACUGUACAAAUUUGUCUCAUGCCAUUCUCAUCUUUAUUUUCUUCCACACUGCGUUUAUAUCAGGUCCUGAAACUUCUAAUCUUAGCACCUAAGAUUCUUUGUACAUGUUUUUCUCUUUGACAUGGAAACUGUGGCUGCCUCUUCAAUAUCCAUCCCAUCUAUGCUUAGCGGCCAUAUGUUUAGAUGGAAUGGACCCACCCUAGGGCUCAAGGGUACACAGAUUUCAUUCUCCUUACCACAGUGAUUGGUUCAGGCAUCCAUUGAUUAGAAUGAUUGGUUUGGGGUGGCUUAAUCAGCAUAAGAAGGAGAUUCUCUUUUUCUCUCACUGAAUGUAAACAUGCAAGUUCUGGUUGUCAUUGAUAGACAUUAUCAUGAUAGAAACCAAGGGACUGAAACCAACAUAUAAUUUGGAAGGGCAAUUAGUGUCUGAGAAAUAAAGCCAGAGCCUUGAUCAAACUGUGCCUGACACUGUCAGUUACCUAAAUAACUUUUAGUGUUUUAAGCAAAUUUGCUUUGAAUUUUCUAGGACCUGCAGACAAAUUAAGGCAUCCUAAUACAUCCCUCCUUUCUUGUAUCUGGCUAACUCUUAGUCAGCCCCAGGCCUCUAAAAUAUUAAUUCCUUAGAGAGGCUUUCUCUGACUUUCCCAGACUAGGUCGGGUCUUUCUUUCCUCUGUUUUCCUUGCAUUGAGACUUUUCCCACCUCCCUCCAUACUUGUCACAACAGUAAUGAAUGAUUAUUUUUAAUGUUCCUCUCCCCUAGUGGCCUAUAAAUUAAGUGAAGUUGGGGCCAUGCCUAUCCGGUUCACUGUUCUAGCCCCAGGUUUCUGGCAUGUACCUCACACUUACGAAUUGCUCAAUAAAUAUUUAUUGGAUGCAAAAGUGAAUAAAUGAUAGAAUUUAUUAUGGAUACAUUAAUCUUUCACAAUGAUUUUUAAGCGAAUGUUAGCAGUGUUCCCAUAGAUUGAACUAUUUUUUUUUUUUUUAAUCUUUAGUCUAACUCAGGCAAAAUAUCCCAACUGCCCAGGAUAUUUCACCAGCUGAAAUUCAAUUUCUAUCACUGACUCUCUGGGGAGGAUGUGUGAGUGACAGUUAAGAGCCCCACUCCAGUGCAGGUCAGAAUCCUGGACUAAACACAACCCAAAUCUUCCAUCUACUGGGUUUCUGGUUUCAGCCAAAUUACUGAACUUCAAGCCUCAAUAUUUUUUAUCUUUAAAAUUCAGAUUAUAAUGGUAUCUGCUUCACAGGAUGGCUGUGACGAUUAAAUGAUGCAAUGCAUGUAAUGCACCUAUCUCAAUAGUAUGUACUCACAUACAGUAUUUUCUAUUGCAUAGUAAAUAAUAAAUAUAUUACAUGAUAAUACUCACUAUAUGUAGCUACUAGUUAUCAUUAUAGUAGUUGGACCUCUAGGGUUUCCAAACUCUAGGACUGGAAAAUGAGAUUUCUCUUAACUCUACUCCAGGGCUUUGAGGGGCGUUACUUAUGAAUGAUUUAACAUAGAUAGAAUGGACCAAAUGUUGGAUUUUUGAUUAUUUCUGCUUGAUUCAGAUUCUUGUGUAACCCCGUGAUUUUGAACAGCUAUUGUUCUCCAAAAAUGAGAAUGGAUUUAAAGGAAUAUUUAUAUUGAUUUAUUGUUGGUUGUUGAAAUGUAAAUAGCCCUGAAUGUGCCACUCGCUGGGAAAGGACAGUGCUUUUCAUAAUGGACAAAAUAGCCUUGUUUCACUUUAAUAACCUGCUUGUGGUCACACCAGUCAUGGGGUUCCUUAAACAUAGCAGAAUGCCUGCUAUUGUCAUUUACAUAUCAAUGAGCAGACAUCUCUCUGCUAGUUGCUGUCACAUAGCACUGCCUCUUCCCUAACUUGGGGACUGUGCUGAGUUUAUAUGUGAAAUGAACAAAUCUUUCAUACAGACACGCAUAUCCCAAGCCUCUGCAACAGCUGCUAAGGCAGUUAUACAACUUGUCUAUUGUUUAUUUGUAGAAGUUGGAAGGGUUAGAAAUAAAUUGCCUACCCCUAGAAUUUUAUGGACAUAUGUGUGCUUAUUUCUUUUACAGAAGUAUGCCAUGAACAAUCAUUCUGGGUUUCCCAAGUUGAGUGCAUCAGAUGAAGUAGGCUUAAAUAAGGAAAAACAAUCAAACAAACACCCCAAAACACAGCAUUGCUUACACAGGAAACUCUGACUUUAAAAUUCAGAGGAAAAAUAAAAAAAAAAAAUUGUUUUCUCUGCUUAUUACCUCAUUCUCGCCAAUGCAUUUUCUGGGUUGGAAAUAGCCCUUCUACUUCAUCGACUUAGAAAUAAAUGGCAUAUUAGUCUCUCCCUCAAGGGCCACUGAGGGAAUGGAGGUUGAAUGCAAAGUUAUGUGAUUCUAGAGUGAUGCCCAGGGCAGCCCAGGAAGUCAUGACUGCUAGCUUAGAAAUCAUCGCUAGUCCUCUUUAAUGAGCCCUAGCAUCAUGCUCCUAAUAAUCUUUUUAGGUGACCUUAAUCGCCACUGCAGCGUUAAACAGCAGUUUCACCACAGAGCCAUGAUUUGGCCAUGGAUUUAUUAUUCAGACCAGGUCAGGAGGAACUCAAAAGCUGAGGAAACAGAGUCUCCAUAACCUUGUCAUACUAGCGACAGCUGCACUUCCAUACUGUGAAAGAAUCGCUUAAACACCCAUGUAGUCCCAGAUUUUUUUAAAUUGAAAAUUGGUUAUCAAUAUCAUACUCAUCUUUAGAAAAACUGUGAGGAACACACCGUCCCCCCCCCACACACAUACACACACACAUAUAUGAAAUCACAAUAAUCAUGCUUGUUAUCUGCUUGGCACUGAUCAAGAUUCUACCUGGGAAUUAACUCAUAUAAUUCUCUUCUCCAACAGUACGAUGAGACACAUGCUAUUAUUAUCCAAUUUUCCUGUUGAGCAACUGAGGUAGGGAGAGGUUCAGUAAUUUGCCUGUGGUAGGAGUGCAGAUAUGAAAUGCACACGUCUGUCUCUUUCCUGCAGAUGUGUGUACGAACUGGAGGCAACCAUUGCUGAGGCGGUUAACCAACUUCCUUAUUGUGUAUUUGUAGAAGUUGUGAUAGUAGGAGAUAAAUUGCCCAUCCCUUCUGUCUUACUAUAUAGAUACUAUGUCAAGGAGCUAUUAAGGAUAAUAAUAAUAAUUAGCAUUAAUUGGGUGCUUCCUAGGCCAGGCUAGCAUUCUUAUACAGGCUUUAUGCAUAUUGUCUUGUUUCAUCCUCACAAUAGCCCAAAGAAAGAGUUAUGAUGAUGCUCAUUUCAGGCUGACAUUAUCUAAACCCGAUGGGAUUUAAAUACUUUGCCUAAGUCAUACAUCUAAGAAGCAGGAGAGCAGGGAUUUGAACUCCUGAAAUUGUGUGAUUAAUCAGUGGUGCCUCUAGAUGGCAAAACUCUUCCUCCAGGUCCCGGGGAAAAUGGCGGGUGUCUCCGUGCUGUGCUGACUGCCAAGGACACGAACAAACCUAUUGGAUGUCUUCUCCCUCUGCCAAACCUCAGGAUCUUUCUAGUCUCUUUUCUCAUAUCACAUUGCCUCCAUCCAUACUUCCCUUUCUAGUGUUCGAUUUCUUUCAGAGCUGGCUUGGCCUUGUUGGCAGAGGUCCAAUCUGAGAACCUACUUUACAACCACAUAUAGUGGGAGCAAAUAAGUUAAUAUGUUCCAGAUACUCACAUAUUUUUGGCAUAGAAUCUAACCAAUACAAUCACAGCUUAUUAUCCUUCACAGGCAACAAUCAUUCUUUUAUUUGUUCAAUAAACAUUGAGUGACUAUGAUGGCCUGGGCACUGUGCUAGGUCUGCAUUAGCAUCUGUGACAGGAGCAUUUUGGAAAUGCAAUGCCCCAUUCAUCGGAGUGACUUUAAUGGUGGAGCCUUUGGCACCUUGGCAAGCCGGCUUUUGGGCCCCUCUCAAGUCUCAUUAGCUCAUUGGCCAUGGACUCUGCUCAUCUCAACUGCUGGUCUUGCUGUCUUGCUGGCACCACCUCUGAAAAAAGUGACACAGUUUGAUUCCAUUGUGAAAAAAUAGGGUUAGAUGAAUAUUUUUUUACAGAUCUAAAGGAUGCCAUUUUUGGACCAGGAACAUAAAAUUGAUGAAAUGGAACUUAAGUGACUUGGAAUUAAGCUUCAGAAAAGAGGUUUACAUCAAUCUCCAUGAUGGAAUUGGGACAAUGUCUUCAUUAUUAUUAUUAUUAUUAUUAUUACUUUUUGUUCAGUUUAUUUAAAUAACUGGGGUUUUCUUUGGUCUAUUUCCAGCCUGUUAGCAAGCUCAUUUCUGUGGCCAGGCCUUGCUCCUGCUACUCUUGUUUUUGAUUUUGUUUUUUUUUUUUCCUAAUAGAACCUUGUCUUUAUCUCUCAUGCAGGGUGACCAUCAUCUGCAAGUUGUUUGUUGAGAGUCCCCUCUGACUUCAGAACAACCAAUUUAUGGUGACAUGAACAAGUCAAGGGACUCAGAGCUAAAACAGGCAGGAUUGCUAGAUCUAAUGAAGACCCUGUCAGGCCUCAUUUGGAUCUAGUUAAUGAGGAUCUGAUUGAAUUUGCCAUCUUUAUAACAUUGUGAGGUCUUUGGGGCCAGUAAAUGAUUUCCCUUAUUUUUCUGCACAGAAACAAGGAUGAGGUCGAGUUGUCAGUGUAAACAUUUGUAUGGCAUACGUCAUCAGACAUCAUGCCCUUGGUGGAUGAUUUGCUAGGUCAUCUUAGAGAGGCCAUUUAAUCUUUCUGUGUUUUAGCUUUUCCACCUGUGAAAGUAUGGUUACACAUAUAGGACUUCGAAGGAAAGAGCAAUUAGGAAGAAUAUAUAGGGUGUGUUAACUUGAGGGGCUUUUGCAACAGAAACUUGCUUCACUUUUUGUUAGAGGGAGUGUCACCUUGAGGUGAUAUAACAUUUUUUUUUUUUUUAUGGCAAGAUAAUCUGAUAAAAAGUGCUUGCCAAGCAAACAUCAGAUCUGAGGGAAGGGAGGGAUCAUUCCUGCUAUUUCAAUCCAUCUGGAGGUAACUUCUGACAAGGGUUUUUCGGACCGAAGUUUCUCCAAGGGAAAAAUUGAAACCGUAAGACCACUGUUUGGCAGUCCAAAUUAAAUGUGCCCACAAUUUAAAAAGACGAAUUCGUAUGUGCUCAGCUUCAAAUUAUAAAUUACCAAUAACAUCUUGUGGUUUUGUUGUUUUGCUGUGGAGGGACUUUGCUGCUGAAAGCAGUCUUGCGGCUGCUUUUCACACACAGUUUGUAAACAACAGCAAGCCUUGACUAUGCUGUUAGUCUUUGAAGUUGUGGAGGUUAGCACACUCUGAUUUCCUUGUCUCCUGUUAUGAUCCAGAUUGCCCCAGAUCUCCCAGACCAGAUAUGUUUUUUUAUAAAUAUACACACAACCAAUCAGUGUUUAUUUUGGGGUUACUAAAACGGUUCCAGUAAAUUCUUUAGUAAAAACCCUGGAUGAAAUACAUCUCAAAUCAGAGAACAGUUUUGCUUCUAUGACAUCCAAUUGCUAUAUUUUAAAAGACUGGUAUAAACUUUUUCAUAUGUACAAGUGAAACUCAGUGGAGCCUUUUAUUUCACGUCACCUUCUUGCACGCCCACUCCCUUCCCCCCUCCCCCUUCUUGAAACUGCAAGCAUGAGACUUGUUGCUUUCAUCUGUGUGAAUUUCCCAUUGGCUGUGCCCCAACUCUCAGAAUCAUUCUCUUUCCCCCAGGGGAAUCGCCAGAUGCUCAGUAGGUGAUCAAUGUGCCCUGUGCUGUUCAGCUUUGCCUGGGCUUGCCUGUGUGUCCUCCAAAAAUGUAAACAGAGACACCCAACUCUGCCUCAGGUUGGAGGGAAGGACCUCAAAUCAGUCACAGACCCAAACAAACAAUGCAGGAAAUGCUGCUUCUUCCCCCAAUCGGUGCAGGAGGAUGGGCUGUCUCAUUAUACAGUGCUAAUGGUGUCUGAAAUAUGAGGGUUCUGUGGAAUAAAAAGCUACCUGUUAAGAGCUAUGACAAAUUGUCAAUCUGUGUUACACCACACUUUAAACAUUCCCAGCAAUGUCAUUUCUGCCAGUAUAAUAGGGAAAUAGUUAUGUGGUUAAAGCUUUAAAUCAAUAGUUAAGUUAAUUGCAUAUUUGUAAUAGCUCAAAAUUGAAAUGGACUUAAAUGUCCAACAAGAAGAAUUUGAUUAAAUAACUUAUGCUAUCUACCUGUCUGUCUGUCCAUCUCUCUCUUCCAAAUAUACCUAUUUCUGCCAUUUAAAAUGAGGGUGUAAAUGGUCUUUUUAAAAUUUAAGUUAGAAACACCUUGGAGAGCUUAAUAAAACUUAUAAACCAGGAGAAAACUUGUUCAACAUUCGUUCAACAUUAUCAAGUUAACAUCAAAAGAUUUCAACAAAAACUUGUCUCUCACUUAAUGUUUAGGAAUAAUCUAAAUGUACUAGAAAUAAUUAAUAAUUCAGAUGUAAGCAGUAGUGGAACAAGCAGGUUAGAGAACAGUAUAAUCCCAUUUUUGUAAAAAAAA